rnacentral:rRNA from 1 species
AAUCUUCCUCAUUGGUCGAAAGUUUGACGGAGCAACGCCUCUUUAGGUAUGAAGGUCUACGGAUCGAAAAACCCUGUUGUUAGGGAAGAACAAGUAUCGAUCGAAUAGGGCGGUACCUUUACGGUACCUAACCUGAAAGCCUCGGCCAACUCCGUGCCAACAGCCGCGGUAAUACGUAGGUGGCAAGCGUUAUCCGGAAUUAUUGGGCGUAAAGCGCCCGCAGGCAGUUUCUUAAGUCUGAUGUGAAAGCCCACGGCUCAACCGUGGAGGGUCAUUGGAAACUGGGAAGCUUGAGUGCAGAAGAGGAGAGUGGAAUUCCAUGUGUAGCGGUGAAAUGCGUAGAGAUAUGGAGGAACACCAGUGGCGAAGGCGACUCUCUGGUCUGCAACUGACGCUGAGGCGCGAAAGCGUGGGGAGCGAACA